UAGUUUUGUAGGAAGUCAACCUACUCUAACUUUGACCAUGUUUAUAGAAAAAUAUAUUAACAUCUGCAAUACCAAAUAAAUGCACUAUCAAGACAUAUUUCAUGGUGUUCAUGGUGGAUUUAAUGAAACCAAUUCGAUGUUGUAGAUGUUGGUGCAUUUUUUUAUAAACUUGGUCAAAGUUAGAGAAGUUUUACCUAGGACAAAACUAA
rnacentral:pre_miRNA from 1 species